UUAUCUUUGUUUAAUGGCAAAAUUGCUUAUAUCCCCCUGUGGUUUGAAAAUUGGAUGCUAUUUUUCCUGUAUUUUAAAAAACUGUGUGGUUCUUCCAUGUAAACUUUGCACACUCUUCCCAUCGAUCAAUUUAAUCUAACGGUGUUAAAUUUUAUAUGUAAUGGACCGUUAUACCCUCAAUUAAAUAACUCUCGUAACUCUUCUCUCUAGUUUCUCUCUUACCCCUCCCCACAGACAUCUAUCCCCACCAUCCCCGAAAUCGCCGCACCUCCAUUUACAGACGAAACUCCAGGUUCUGACCACUAUUCCGCGGCGGCUGUCUCUUCCGGCGGUCGCGGUCGCGAUUUCGGCCGGGAACCGGUUUGCCAUUCCUUCAUCUUCAACGAUAUCACGGGUUAGGGCAUUUCUUCAUUUUUCCUUUGCUUUCACGGACUAUGGCAAUUUCGGGUUGAGAAAUUCUUCGAUUUGUCAUAGAAGUGGAUUUUGGGUUUCAAGGAGGGGAGUCCGAAGGAGAAGAGUCCGAUGAUGAGGGGGUGAAGGAAUGGACGAGGAGGGUGAUGAUGUUCGCGAUAGUGACUGCCAACCGAUCAGCUGGGGAUCCUUUGCGUAUUGGCUGGUCGAGACAGGAAAUAACAGCGGGUGAG